GAUGAACGCUAGCUACAGGCUUAACACAUGCAAGUCGAGGGGUAACGAGAGGAAAGCUUGCUUUCCUCGUCGACGACCGGCGCACGGGUGAGUAACGCGUAUCCAACCUGCCCCCAACUAGGGAAUAACCUUGCGAAAGUAAGACUAAUACCCUAUAAUUUCCUCAGAUGUCAUCUGACGAGGAAUAAAGAUUUAUCGGUUGUGGAUGGGGAUGCGUCUGAUUAGCUUGUUGGCGGGGUAACGGCCCACCAAGGCAACGAUCAGUAGGGGUUCUGAGAGGAAGGUCCCCCACAUUGGAACUGAGACACGGUCCAAACUCCUACGGGAGGCAGCAGUGAGGAAUAUUGGUCAAUGGGCGGAAGCUUGAACCAGCCAAGUAGCGUGCAGGAUGACGGCCCUAUGGGUUGUAAACUGCUUUUAUACAGGAAUAAAGUUAGCCACGUGUGGUUAUUUGUAGGUACUGUAUGAAUAAGGACCGACUAAUUCCGUGCCAGCAGCCGCGGUAA
rnacentral:rRNA from 1 species